ensembl:lncRNA
CAGCAUUGAAGUGAUUGGAUUGCUGUAUUCGGCGCAUAUGAUCAAUACAAUUUGAUUUGAGGUGAACGUCCAGCGUACUUAACACUUCCUGCACCGGAAGCUGACACAAGUAAAACUGUCUGCCUGGAGUCACAGACAUGAAAUGGGGCCCAGCACACUAGCGGAAAACUGAGAGGCUUCAAAACCUCCUCAGGACGCCCUGGCUUUAAGGCAGCUCAGCUCAGACAAUGAACAGGGAGAGACAACGCGGUCACCUGUGACAGCCCAGCUGACUGUCACGCACACCGCCAGGCUGCUGAGGCGCUCCUGAU